rnacentral:rRNA from 1 species
GACAGAGGGUGCGAACGUUGCUCGGAAUUACUGGGCGUAAAGCGCGUGUAGGCGGGCGAUCAAGUCAGGUGUGAAAUCCCUGGGCUCAACCCAGGAACUGCAUCUGAAACUGGUCGUCUAGAGUGUCGGAGAGGGAAGCGGAAUUCUCGGUGUAGAGGUGAAAUUCGUAGAUAUCGGGAGGAACACCGGUGGCGAAGGCGGCUUCCUGGACGACUACUGACGCUGAGACGCGAAAGCGUGGGGAGCAAACAGG